CAAUAGCGUAUAUUAAAGUUGUUGCAGUUAAAAAGCUCGUAGUCGGACUUCUGGCUGUGCAGGGCGGUCCGCCGCAAGGUGUGCACUGCUCUUCGCAGCCAUCCUCUCGAGGACCCUUGGUGCUCUUCACUGAGUGCUCUGGGGACUCGGGACCUUUACUUUGAAAAAAUUAGAGUGUUCAAAGCAGGCCUUUUCGCUUGAAUACAUUAGCAUGGAAUAAUAGAAUAGGACUUUGGUUCUAUUUUGUUGGUUUCUAGGACCGAAGUAAUGAUUAAUAGGGAUAGUUGGGGGCAUUAGUAUUUAAUUGUCAGAGGUGAAAUUCUUGGAUUUAUGAAAGACUAACAUCUGCGAAAGCAUUUGCCAAGGAUGUUUUCAUUGA
rnacentral:rRNA from 1 species